CAAAUGUAGAAGACCAUUGACCAACUGCAAAAAAUAUAGCAACAGCACAUUCAAACACAGUAGCAGCAGCAUACUAUACUGUACCAUGCGGUGUGCAGGAGGACUUUUUUAUUCAGUUGGUGCGGCAAGAUCGAACAUAAACAACAUAAUAUCAUGGUAAUCACCCAGCAAGAGAACGCAGUGAUAAUGGAUCAACAGAAAACACAACAUCAAUAUGCUCGGAAAGGACUUUCUCUUUCGAACAAACAUAAUGGCACGGUUCAAUCGGCUAACCGUUUGGAAUAAGCGCUCAUCAGCGGUUUCAUGGCAGGGAAGUGAGCAGGCAAAAGAAGGCAUCGUUUUUUCCGCAAGGUCGCUCUGGUCAAAAUUUCAGCGAAUUGCAGGGAAUAAACCACCCGAGGGACAGUACCCGUGCUGAUUCAGGACGAUUUCCCAUACUUUGUACCUUGCUAUUGAAUUUUAAUACCCGAUCGAAACGAUGGCAAGCGCUGCCGAUAACUGGGUCAAAAAGACGACGGAUCAAGAAAUUUCUGCACUCGGUUAGCGAACUGAGUACAUAUCACCAAGGAUAAGGAUUCAGAGCCGGCGGCUGGCAGUCCAGAGAAAGAGAAUGCGGAAAAACCUAGUCCACCGGCAGUAGAACCAAAGCUGCACCUGAUGUUUGGAGUUCGGUAGCUACGGAAAUUCUGACU